GAUGAACGCUGGCGGCGUGCCUAAUACAGGCAAGUCGAGCGAACGGACGAGAAGCUUGCUUCUCUGAUGUUAGCGGCGGACGGGUGAGUAACACGUGGAUAACCUACCUAUAAGACUGGGAUAACUUCGGGAAACCGGAGCUAAUACCGGAUAAUAUUUUGAACCGCAUGGUUCAAAAGUGAAAGACGGUCUUGCUGUCACUUAUAGAUGGAUCCGCGCUGCAUUAGCUAGUUGGUAAGGUAACGGCUUACCAAGGCAACGAUGCAUAGCCGACCUGAGAGGGUGAUCGGCCACACUGGAACUGAGACACGGUCCAGACUCCUACGGGAGGCAGCAGUAGGGAAUCUUCCGCAAUGGGCGAAAGCCUGACGGAGCAACGCCGCGUGAGUGAUGAAGGUCUUCGGAUCGUAAAACUCUGUUAUUAGGGAAGAACAUAUGUGUAAGUAACUGUGCACAUCUUGACGGUACCUAAUCAGAAAGCCACGGCUAACUACGUG
rnacentral:rRNA from 1 species